UACGUAGGGGGCAAGCGUUGUCCGGAUUUACUGGGCGUAAAGAGCGUGUAGGCGGCCAAGCAGGUCCGUUGUGAAAACUGGAGGCUUAACCUCCAGACGUCGACGGAAACCGCGCGGCUAGAGUCCGGAAGAGGAGAGUGGAAUUCCAGGUGUAGCGGUGAAAUGCGUAGAUAUCUGGAAGAACACCAGUGGCGAAGGCGCUCUACUGGGCCGUAACUGACACUGAGGGACGAAAGCUAGGGGAGCGAAAGGG
rnacentral:rRNA from 1 species